AACGUAGGUGGCGAGCGUUAUCCGGAUUUACUGGGCGUAAAGGGUGUGCAGGCUGCCCCUCAAGUGGUGUAUGAAAGGGCUCGGCUCAACCGGGCUAGGUUAUGCCAGACUGAGGGGCUAGAGAGCGAGAGCGGGACGUGGAAUUCCGGGUGUAGUGGUGAAAUGCGUAGAGGUCCGGAGGAACCCCAGAGGCGAAGGCGGCGUCCUGGCUCGCAUCUGACGCUCAGACACGACAGCAUGGGGAGCGAACGGG
rnacentral:rRNA from 1 species